rnacentral:tRNA from 2 species
UGGGGUAUAGCCAAGUGGCAAGGCAACGGACUUUGACUCCGUGAUUCGUAGGUUCGAGUCCUGCUACCCCAGCCA